rnacentral:rRNA from 1 species
UACGGAGGGGGCUAGCGUUGUUCGGAAUUACUGGGCGUAAAGCGCACGUAGGCGGACCAUCAAGUUGGGGGUGAAAUCCCGGGGCUCAACCCCGGAACUGCCUUCAAAACUGUUGGUCUGGAGGUCGAGAGAGGUGAGUGGAAUUCCGAGUGUAGAGGUGAAAUUCGUAGAUAUUCGGAGGAACACCAGUGGCGAAGGGCGGGCUCAUCUGGUCUCGAUACUGACGCUGGAGGUGCGAAAGCGUGGGGAGCAAACAGG